GCGCUUCAGCAGCACAUAUCCUAAAAUCGGAAUGAUACAGAAAAGAUUAGCAUAGUCCCU
rnacentral:snRNA from 1 species